rnacentral:rRNA from 1 species
GGGACACGUGAUAUCCUGUCUGAAUAUGGGGGGACCAUCCUCCAAGGCUAAAUACUACUGACUGACCGAUAGUGAACCAGUACCGUGAGGGAAAGGCGAAAAGAACCCCUGUGAGGGGAGUGAAAUAGAACCUGAAACCGUGUACGUACAAGCAGUAGGAGCAGGCUUUGUCCUGUGACUGCGUACCUUUUGUAUAAUGGGUCAGCGACUUAUAUUCAGUGGCAAGGUUAACCAUCUAGGGGAGCCGUAGGGAAACCGAGUCUUAACUGGGCGUUCAGUCUCUGGAUAUAGACCCGAAACCAGGUGAUCUAGCCAUGGGCAGGUUGAAGGUUGAGUAACAUCAACUGGAGGACCGAACCGACUAAUGUUGAAAAAUUAGCGGAUGACUUGUGGCUAGGGGUGAAAGGCCAAUCAAACCUGGAGAUAGCUGGUUCUCCCCGAAAGCUAUUUAGGUAGCGCCUCGGACGAAUACUACUGGGGGUAGAGCACUGUUAAGGCUAGGGGGUCAUCCCGACUUACCAACCCUUUGCAAACUCCGAAUACCAGUAAGUACUAUCCGGGAGACACACGGCGGGUGCUAACGUCCGUCGUGGAGAGGGAAACAACCCAGACCGCCAGCUAAGGUCCCAAAUUACUACUAAGUGGGAAACGAUGUGGGAAGGCUCAGACAGCCAGGAUGUUGGCUUAGAAGCAGCCAUCAUUUAAAGAAAGCGUAAUAGCUCACUGGUCGAGUCGGCCUGCGCGGAAGAUGUAACGGGGCUAAGUA